CAAAUACACAAGGAUGCACUCACCUGUCCCAGGUGAUCGCUGCUGUCUCCCACGGGUGAAAUUGCUGGGGCUUUUCAACACAUGUGUUGCUGGCUCGUUCACCAAGGUACACUAGUGCACACUCAGAAACGUGUUAAACAGGAAACAAUGUCCCUGGCAUUGUCAGACUUGCCCCAUCACCAAAUGACAGCACAUAUGACCCACAGGCUCAAUCCC
rnacentral:lncRNA from 1 species